ACUCCUACGGGAGGCAGCAGUGGGGAAUAUUGCACAAUGGGGAAAGCCCAUCGAUGCAGCCAUGCCGCGCUGUGUGAAGAAGGCCAAUUCGGGGCUUUGGUUAAAGACACUUUCAGUAGGGAGGAAGGUAGUGUAGUUAACACCUGCACUAUUUGACGUUACCUACAGAAGAAGCACCGGCUAACUCCGUGCCAGCAGCCGCGGUAAUACGGAGGGUGCGAGCGUUAAUCGGAAUUACUGGGCGUAAAGCGCAUGCAGGCGGCCUGUUAAGUCAGAUGUGAAAGCCC
rnacentral:rRNA from 1 species